rnacentral:rRNA from 1 species
CACAGAGGGUGAGAAUCCCGUACGUGGUCGCUGGCUAUUGCCGUGUAAAGCCCCUUCGACGAGUCGAGUUGUUUGGGAAUGCAGCUCUAAAUGGGAGGUACAUUUCUUCUAAAGCUAAAUAUUGGCCAGAGACCGAUAGCGCACAAGUAGAGUGAUCGAAAGAUGAAAAGCACUUUGGAAAGAGAGUUAAAAAGCACGUGAAAUUGUUAAAAGGGAAGGGAUUGCAACCAGACUU